CUUUUCACUUUCUCUUUCCCACCAUUUGCCUGAAGCUCCUCAUCCCCUUCCUUGUGCCUCCUCAGAAUUCUACCAGUGCACCUCAUUCAGACAUUCAUCAAGAAAAAGGCCAGCUGAAGGCAGACAGCCAACAAAACUCAGUCGUUAGCCACAGCCCUGGCUGUCCUCGUCCAUCAAGCCUGCCCAUUGUGAGCUUCCAUUCAUCUUACCUGUCUGUUAUGGAAGAGUGAAGUGGAAAAGGCAUGGAGGACUCAGAAGACCUGCUACCGAGAAGAGCCCCAUUGCAAUCAGAAGAUUAUUUAUGGAAAAAAGCAAAAUGGAGAUAUUUAAAAGACGGAGAGAGACAGCAGAAAGCUGCUUAAGAAAUUGCUUUGAGUCCACAGGAGGGAAGCACAAAGGAGAUGGGAUAAUAGUGUUAUACACUACAUGGUAAGUGUAAUAAACUCCAAGCUGGGAGGACAGCAAGGGCACUCUGUGUGGGUUAAUUGGUGCCCUGCCUACGCUCGAGAGAGAAUAAAUUUUCAACCACAUCAAAGUCUUCUCCAGAAAAAAAAAAAAGCUCGUUAAAAAUCCCAUUUCCAGGAACCCUGGCAGCCAGACAAUAAGAAGGCUAAACAACAACAACAACAACAACAACAAAAAUCACCUCUAUUUGGCCUACUACUCCCUCAAACAUUAAACUAUUU
rnacentral:lncRNA from 10 species